UCUGCCUAUCUGAGGUUAUUGGUAUUGACAAAACAUGGUCCACUGGAGAAGGGAAUGGCAAACUACUUCAGCAUUCUUGCCUUGAAAACCCCACGAACAGUAUGAAAAGACAAGCUUGGGUAUAUGCUGUAAACCCUCUGAUUGGUAGGAGUAUGUUAUAUUAAAAUAUUAUAAGUUAUUGGGGCCAAAUUUGUUUAAAAACAGGCCCAAGGGAAAUAAAAAACAGAUUUGCUAAUUAUUAUGAUCUUGGAAAACUAUAUAUCUUAUUUGUGCCUUACCUUUUUCAUCUUUACAAUGGAGGAAGUUAUAGUACCUUGCCUUUAGAGUUAUUUGAGUAAAUAAGUUAGUGUAUAUAAUGUGCUUAGAACUAUGGCUGGGACAUAGUAAAUAUUCAUGUGUGAAUGGCUUUUCCUACAAUUGGACAUAUUCUAAUUCAGUUAGUUAUUUAGGGAAGGCUGGGGAGGACAAAAGAAGGGGCUAAUUCAGCUGUACGUGUUUUAUGUACUCACUGUGACCUCAAGUCCGAAAAUGACUACUGUCGGCCUUUCAGCCACUUACUCUGAUGGGUCUUGACACAUCAGUAUCUGUCAGAUAAUUGCUGGCUUGAUACAACUUCUGAGACUCAAUACUAAAGGGAUUAACAUAAAGGUUCCUUAUGUUUUUGCCUGUCAUCCUGUAAGAAAGAUAUGAUUCAGUGGAUAGAACACUGUCGUUUCUUUGAAGGAUGAGAAAAAAAGAUAAUUGGAAGGCAGAAUUGAGAAGCUAAUGUGUACACAGGGAGAGUAACUCAAAAGCUGAUUUCCUUUUCAAAAAGUGAAGAAACCUGUGGGAUCUGAACAUUCUGCACUGUGAACAAGUAUAGGAAAAAAAUUAGUUGUUAAAUAAGGAAUAUUUACAGUCAUUUAUUCUUUUGUCCGUCUCAACUUUGCAUCUAAUUACAGUAGUGUCUUCCACUCAAUUAAGGCUGAGGGUUUUAAAAACUGAGGGAAUGUUUAACUUAGAAAUUCCAACUGAAUACUGACUUUUUUAAAAUGAGAAAGCAAAAUCACAGUACCAGGAAACAGUAUUUCUUUCUCAGUAGGUAAACCAAAGUCAAUUUGUCAAUAGUUAUUUCUGUCUUUCCUCAAAUGGUUGAAAAAAUCUGACAUUGAUUAUGUCAGACUUUCUUAUUAAAGUGAAACAGAAUCAACUGGGUAAAAAUGCCAGUAGCUACUCAAAAUAUUAGACAUUAAUCCAUGUGUAAUACCAAAAACAGACCCAGCAAUAACCUGAGUUGAGAUUUCACAUAUAUUCCUUUUCAUAUAGAAGAAACUUAUUCAAUAAAAUUAUAACAAGGCUUUUUGAAUGUCUUACCUUUGUUCAACUUGCCUGGUCCCGCUGGCCACCUUUUAGGUUUUUCAGUGACCGUUCACAGCCUUGUGUCUGUUAUUUCUUCUGCCUGAAAAACCUUCUCCCCAGUCAUCACGUGGGUAGCUCCUUGUCGUUCUUCUGAUCUUAGUUUAAGUAUCAUUUUUCAGAGAGAUAUUCUCUGACUAUGCUAUCUAAAGUGCUCAAUUAAAGUUAGCAGCUAUUAUUAUUUAUUAAAUUAGGGUCCUUGUUCUGUGUCUCUGCAGUCUCUUUCGUAGCAUUUACCACAUUAUGUGAUUUUUUUUUCCUUUGUUUAUUGUCUGUCUCCACAACUAGAUUUUAAGUUCCAUGAGGACAGGGACCUUGUCUCUUGUUCACAACUGGAUUUCCAUCACCUAGCUGAUGGUCUUAUACAUGGUGGGUGUGUAAGAGGUGCUUAAAGAAAUGAAUCACUAGUUUAUCUCAAUAUUUGUGAAGCAAAUAGGAGUAGAAGCAGAUGACUAGAAAUCAUUAAUUGUUUUACUGUCACCAACUGAAAUUCUCUCACUUUAGGGAUUUGCUUGCAUUGUUGACAGUUAGGCUAUUAUCACAACAUUAUACCUAAUUAAAAAAAAAGAUUUAAAAUAUAUUUGCCCAUAACUUAAAAGAAGAUGAUAUUUUAAAAUUGAUUAAAUCUCACUAAGUUGAAAUAAAAUUCUGUAAAAUAACUAAGGUGUAGGCAAAAGCUGUUUGGUAUAGGUGGUUCUAAGUUUAUAUACAUUUACUUAACAAAUAAUCCACACAGAAGCAUUUGCUGGUAGCUCUCUGCUCUCCAACCGCCAUACUGAAUUUGUUCCUGUUGCUAUUUCUUUGAAAGAGAGAGAUUAAAUUAAUUGGAUAACUUCAGAUUUAUGAGUACAACUGGGCUUCCCUUGUAGCUCAGUUGGUAAAGAAUCUGCCUGCAUUGCAGGAGACCUGGGUUUGAUUCCUGGGUUGGGCAGAUCCCCUGGAGAAGGAAAUGGCAACCCACUCCAGUAUCCUUGCCUGGAAAAUCUCAUGGACAGAGGAGCCUGGUGGGCUACAGUCCAUGGGGUCGCAGAGUCGGGCACACUGAGAGACUAACACAACACAACAACAGGAUAAAGACUCAGGAUUUAGAGUGUAGACUUGGGGCCUGUUCUGUGUCUAUGGCUUGGAUCAAGUUCCAAACCUGUUUUCCCAUCUGUAAAAUGUACUAGGCUCAAAAUGUUGCUUCUGAGCUUCAGGUAAGAUAACGUGUCAAAGAACUUUAUAAGGUGUGAAAUGCUAUAUAUAUUAACUGGUUUGCUGUGUAGACAGGAUGAUCUGUACUCAUGAGCAAAGAGCUAGGUGCUCUCAGGUGUAUCUUAGGGGAGGUCAUUCUGUCUAAAAAUACCCAUUUAUGCAGUACCUGGUUUUUACAGUUUUUAAAGUUUCCCCUUGUUAUCCUGAUUGAAAUUACACCAACAGGAGAACCAUUUAGAUUAAUAAGUGUAUAUUUAAUUAUAUAUUUUUGAAGAAUAUUGAAAUGAUGGCUAUCUUUUGUUAUAAAAUUGGCUCAAAUGUGUCCUUUUUAGCAGCAUAGAGUUAAGACCCUAAGGCUUUAGGGUCAAACUUAGAUAGAAAUUCUGAAUCUAGCACUUAUCAGUCAAAUGACCUUGAGCAAAUUACAUGACCUGUCAGAACUUCAGUUCUUUUUGUUCAAAUACCAUUAACUUUAAGGAUUGUGGGAAAGGUGAACGAGAACCCGUGGUUCAGCAACUACAUGUGCCUGGCAUGGGAUAGGGAUUGAUUAGUGUUUCAUUUCAAAGGAUAAGCGACUUGGAUCAGCUCUACUGAGGAAAUGAAUGUUUCAAUGCUCUGUUGUGAAAGCUAAUCAUAAAAGGCAUAAGAGAUCAACACAUCUUUAUUGUUUGUCACUCUGAACCUUGCAUUCUGGAAUAUACAACUAGAGGAACUCAGAACCAGUAUGGAACUACACAUCUGUAAUGUGCAUGCAAGGGGAGAGGGAAAGUAGAGUAAGUGGUGGACGUCAUGACACUUCAACCCUGUGUACUUCUAUGGAACUGGCUAGUAGCAGCAUGUGACAGCUGAUUGUAUACAUUUCUUCUCAACUCUGUCAAGUUGGUUGCUUGCUAUCAGCAAAGGUACCAGUAUUUACACCAUGGAAAUUGGCAGUGCUACAGACCAGGACUUUUUUUUUUCCCUUUGCAGAGCCAGUUGUUAAACAUUUAUCAUCAUACUACUGUGUGUAUCUCCUAAAAAUAAGCAUUCUUGGGAGGGGAUAUAUGUAUAAUUAUGGCUGAUUCAAGUUGUUUUAUGUCAGAAACCAACACAACAUUGUAAAGCAGUUUUCCUCCAAUUAAAAAAUUUAAAAAAAAUU